GCCCUACGGGGUGCAGCAGUCGCGAAAACUUUGCAAUACACGAAAGUGUGACAGGGCUAUCCCGAGUGCCAUCCGCUGAGGAAGGCUUUUACCCAGUCUAAAACGCUGGGGGAAUAAGGAGAGGGCAAGUCU
rnacentral:rRNA from 1 species